rnacentral:rRNA from 1 species
GUCUAUGGCCAUGCCACUCUGAAUAAGCCUGAUGUCUGAUCUCGGAAGCUAAGCAGGGUUGGGCCUAGUUAGUACUUGGAUGGGAGAUCACCUAAGAAGACCAGGUGCUGUAGGUA